rnacentral:rRNA from 1 species
AGUGAACGCUGGCGGUAGGCCUAACACAUGCCAGUCGAACGGCAGCACAGUAAGAGCUUGCUCUUACGGGUGGCGAGUGGCGGACGGGUGAGGAAUACAUCGGAAUCUACUUUUUCGUGGGGGAUAACGUAGGGAAACUUACGCUAAUACCGCAUACGACCUACGGGUGAAAUCAGUGGAUCUUCGGACCUUUCGCGAUUCAAUUAGCCGAUGUCGGAUUAGCUAGUUGGCGGGGUAAAGGCCCACCAAGGCGACGAUCCGUAGCUGGUCUGAGAGGAUGAUCAGCCACACUGGAACUGAGACACGGUCCAGACUCCUACGGGAGGCAGCAGUAGGGAAUAUUGGGCAAUGGGCGCAAGCCUGAUCCAGCCAUACCGCGUGAGUGAAGAAGGUCUUCGGGUUGUAAAGCCCUUUUGUUGGGAAAGAAAAGCAGCAGGUUAAUACCCCGCUGUUCUGACGGUACCCAAAGAAUAAGCACCGGCUAACUUCGUG